CUUCCGAUCUCCCAUACUCCUACGGGAGGCAGCAGUGGGGAAUCUUGCACAAUGGACGAAAGUCUGAUGCAGCAAUUUCGCGUGAAGGAUGAAGCAUUACGGUGUGUAAACUUCUUUUUUGGCAGAAGACGAAUGACGGUAUGUCAAGAAUAAGAGACGGCUAACUACGUGCCAGCAGCCGCGGUAAUACGUAGGUCUCAAGCGUUAUCCGGAUUUACUGGGCGUAAAGUGUCCGUAGUCUGAAUUGUAAGUCUGUUUUCAAAUCCUACGACUCAAUCGUAGAAAGGGAAUGGAUACUGCAAUUCUGGAAGUAUCUAGGGGUUAGUGGAAUUUCCGGUGGAGCGGUGAAAUGCGUUGAUAUCGGAAGGAACGCCGAAAGCGAAAGCAGCUAACUAUAGAAUACUUGACGAUGAGGGACGACAGUUUGGGGAGCAAACAGGAUUAGAUACCCUGGUAGUCCAAACCGUAAAUUAUGCUUGCUAGAUGUUUUUAUCAAUUUAUUGGUAGGAGUGUCGUAAUCUAACGAGUUAAGCAAGCCGCCUGGGUAGUAUAUUCGCAAGAAUGAAACUCAAAGGGAUAGGCGGGGGAACACACAAGCAGUGGAUUAUCUAGAUUAAUUGGAUAAUAAGCCAAGAAUCUUACCUAGGAUUGACAUGUAUUGUGUCUGCGGUGAAAGUCGCAUAUCCGUAGCAAUACGGAGCUUUACACAGGUGGUGCAUGGUCGUCGUCAGCUCGUGCCGCAAGGUGUCUAGUUAAGUCUGGAAACGAGCGCAACCCUCGUGUUUAGUUAGUAUGUCUAAACAGACUGCUCGGGUAACCGAGAGGAAGGAGAGGAUGACGUCAGAUCCUCAUGCCCCUUACACCUAGGGCCUCAUAGAUAAUACAAUGGGUAGGUACAGCGAGAAGCGAUACCGUGAGGUGGAGCAAAUCUUUAAAACUACCCCUAGUUCGGAUUGUAGUCUGGAACUCGACUACAUGAAGUUGGAAUUGCUAGUAAUGGCAGAUCAGCCAUGCUGCCGUGAAUACGUCCCUGUUCCUUGCACUCACCGCCCGUCAAACCAUGGGAGCUGAGGCUCUUUGAAGACUCAUUAUAUGGGUUAAGGAGGGAAUCAGUGACUGGGGUUAAGUCGUAACAAGGCAUCCCUACCGGAAGGUGGGGAUA
rnacentral:rRNA from 1 species